rnacentral:rRNA from 1 species
UACAGAGGUCUCAAGCGUUGUUCGGAUUCAUUGGGCGUAAAGGGCGCGUAGGCUGCGGGGCAAGUCGGGUGUGAAAUCUCAGAGCUCAACUCUGAAACUGCACUCGAUACUGCUUUGCUUGAGGACUGGAGAGGAGAUUGGAAUUCACGGUGUAGCAGUGAAAUGCGUAGAUAUCGUGAGGAAGACCAGUGGCGAAGGCGGAUCUCUGGACAGUUCCUGACGCUGAGGUGCGAAGGCCAGGGGAGCAAACGGG